rnacentral:misc_RNA from 1 species
CGCACAUUGCGCCCCUUGGUAUUCCGGGGGGCAUGCCUGUUCGAGCGUCAUUUCAACCCUCAAGCUUUGCUUGGUCUUGGGCCCUGCCGGCGACGGCUGGCCUAAAACGCAGUGGCGGUGCCUCUGAGCUCUACGCGUAGUAAUCUUUUCUCGCGAUUGGGUUUUGGGGGACGCUUGCCAGCAAUCCUCAUUUUUUUUUGGUUGACCUCGGAUCAGGUAGGGAUACCCGCUGAACUUAA